rnacentral:rRNA from 1 species
GAUGAACGCUAGCGGCAGGCUUAACACAUGCAAGUCGAGGGGUAUUGGUUUUCGGACCAAGAGACCGGCGCACGGGUGCGUAACGCGUAUGCAAUCUACCUUUUGCAGAGGGAUAGCCCAGAGAAAUUUGGAUUAAUACCUCAUAGUAUAGUACUUUGGCAUCAAGGAACUAUUAAAGUCACAACGGCAAAAGAUGAGCAUGCGUCCAUUAGCUAGUUGGUAAGGUAACGGCUUACCAAGGCUACGAUGGGUAGGGGUCCUGAGAGGGAGAUCCCCCANACUGGUACUGAGACACGGACCAGACUCCUACGGGAGCAGCAGUGAGGAAUAUUGGACCAAUGGGGCGCAAGCCUGAUCCAGCCAUGCCGCGUGCAGGAUGACGGUCCUAUGGAUUGUAAACUGCUUUUGUACGAGAAGAAACAACAUUACGUGUAAUGUCUUGACGGUAUCGUAAGAAUAAGGAUCGGCUAACUCCGUGCCAGCAGCCGCGGUAAAG